AUACGAACAUUGCAUCGUAGUGUUUGAAUCGAACAUCAAGAUUGCUACUGUGCAAUUUUGCAUCAAUUUCACUUUAUUUACGAGUUUGCCACCGGGCUGAUUCUAGCCUAAAUUUCGCUUCAUUUACAAGAUUGCCACUGGGCUUAACAACGGGUCUUCGGUCUUUCGGCUGGAUCUGUGCUUAUGGCUCGGGGAGAGAGAGGGAAGGGCGACGGAAGGGUUGAAAGGGAGACGUUCGCCGGGAUUUAGGGGAGAGGAUUUUCGGGAGGGACGUGCGGGUGGGUGUCCUGUGGCUGAUGCAUCGGUCAGAGGGUUGUUGGGGGGGGAGGAGAGGAGGGGGACAGAGGGACUGACGGAUUGGAGAGAUGGGAGCUACGGGUUUGGACUGAGUAAGAGAGGGAUUGGGGUGGGUUUAGGUUUGUUGUCAUUCAGUGAGGGUUUCGGGGAUGGGAGGCCAUGCCUCCUCUGAGAGAGAGAGAGGCCAUUGCCGCAGAUCCUCGAUUUCAUGAGUGGGAGAGGGGGGAUAGUCAGAGAAAAGUAUGAGCCACCGCUUCGCACGGUGGAAGCUAGCCCACGCGUCUGUCAUCGCUGCACCUCGACUUCUUCUCCGCUUUUUCUUUGCUUUUUGAUUCUCUCUCGCCAUUCUCAGUUUCUGCUACUCUCCACAAACCCAAAUUUCUUUAUAUCGUUCCAGUAUUCAACGACAAACCCAAAACCCAGAUCCCUAAACCCAAAUUUCUUCAAUUUUUUUCCCCUCCUCGAGUUCGACAGGAGCGGCAGAUGUACCCAGAUGAGUAGAUCCUCAAGUCCAUUUUAUGCUCCUUAACAAGACCAACACGGUCGACUACGCCAUGGACAUCCACAAGUCCCUCCAUCACACCGAAGAUGUUCCCCAAGGUUGCGUUGAAGGAGGUUAUCGAGAAGGUUCUCGCUGAGCCGAUACGGCUUCAUUUCGUUGUGGCUAAUAUUGGAACUGGGUUUUCAUCGAAUCUCUUGCACAGUCCAGUAGUGCAGAAGAGGUUCCCAUGCAGAGGAGGAAAACUGCUGCAAGUGGAGGAUAGUUAACAGCUCAAGACACGUGGUUUGAGGGUGUAGUAAACAGCACAUAUGCAUUUGGAAAAAAUAAAAAGUAAGCUUAAACUGUAUUUUACUUAUUAAGAAUGGGUAAACUGUUUUAAAUAGGAAAAUUAAGUGCUUAUAUCAAGUAAACUGUAAAUUUAAAAUUUUCUG